ACCUCAUAGGUUCUCCUCUUACCUCAUAGGUUCUCCUCUUACCUCAUAGGUUCUUCUCUUACCUCAUAGGUUCUUCUCUUACCUCAUAGGUUCUCCUCUUACCUCAUAGGUUCUCCUCUUACCUCAUAGGUUCUCCUCUUACCUCAUAGGUUCUUCUCUUACCUCAUAGGUUCUCCUCUUACCCUAUAGGUUCUCCUCUUACCCUAUAGGUUCUCCUCUUACCCUAUAGGUUCUUCUCUUACCUCAUAGGUUCUCCUCUUACCCUAUAGAUCCUAUAGGUUCUCCUCUUACCCUAUAGGUCCUAUAGGUUCUCCUCUUACCCUAUAGAUCCUAUAGGUUCUCCUCUUACCCUAUAGAUCCUAUAGGUUCUCCUCUUACCCUAUAGGUCCUAUAGGUUCUCCUCUUACCCUAUAGAUCCUAUAGGUUCUCCUCUUACCCUAUAGGUCCUAUAGGUUCUCCUCUUACCCUAUAGGUUCUCCUCUUACCCUAUAGGUCCUAUAGGUUCUCCUCUUACCCUAUAGAUCCUAUAGGUUCUCCUCUUACCCUAUAGAUCCUAUAGGUUCUCCUCUUACCCUAUAGGUGACCUGACUAUAGACUGUUGUUCACUCUGUUUCUCCUAUUCACUGACUGUAUAAGAGUUCUGUUUGGCAGUAGCAUUGUUACUAUCAUAGCAUUUGCGUUAU